rnacentral:lncRNA from 1 species
UGCCAAAUUGAAACAUAACCCUCAACGCAGCCACCUUGAGACUUGGCGCUGCAGCACUAUUGAAGGACCCCGCAACACUGGGUGAUUUUACAACAGCGCACUGGGAAACUACAAAUCUGGAUUAAAUAUUAGAGGAGAAACCCUUAAAGCCUUCACUGUUUCCAGUGAGACUUCAAAUUGGAUGAGGGGACUGUAUGUAGCAGGACCGAUUUCUGGACUUUGGAAAAUUUCAUUCAGGAUUCCCAAGCCUGUGACAGCUUUCAUAAAAUACCGACCCCUUGCUACCUGUGCCACCAGCUAUCAGAUAACAGUAAGGCAGAGGCUUACUCGAUCCGUGAGAUUUCUCCUCACUUCUUGA